UCAGGAUUCAAACCAUGUGGCCCCUCGUUGUCAAAUAUUCAGAUCAUUAAUCAGAGAAUUUUUACAAUUUUACAAUUACAAGAAGGUCAAAAUCACUUGUAUUUUAUCAAAAUACAAUUUGUAAUAAUUUUUGUAUUUUAAUACACAAAAUUCGUCAUACAGGUUCACUAGUGAUUGCAAUUUAUCAAUUGAUAAUAAUCUGCAGUAUGUAGUAAACUUGCAUUAUGAAAAUUUGACGGUCUUUACGUAUACAGUCAUUCUCAUGCAGCAUUCUUUUGCACCCAAUUUGACCUUGGAAGACUGUAAAGGUUUCCAGAAUCACAAAACUAUGUUAUCCAAUUAGUAGAUUACUGUUAGCAGCCCAGAAACAUACUUGAUUUCAGCCAUAAACCCUAUCAUGUAAAGCAUGAACCACUCUGAUCCUUUCAGUGUCCUUCUGGUAUCAAACCAGAUAGAAAUCCACCAAAAAUAUAACUCAUUCUGUUCUGAUAGUCCAGUUUAAAAUCACCAAUCUUAAUGGUCAAAAAUCCAUGGGAUCCAGUGGAAAUCAUUCUAGAUGCUGUAUGAAAUGAUUGAUGAAGUUAAGCUAGUUCCUCAAAUUGGAAAGCAAAAAUCCAUUACAAAGAUCAGACCCCCAAGAAACCGGUUAGCCCAUUUUGUAAUGCAAAUUCAUCGGACAAAACAUAGCAACAAUUCCUUCCUUUAAACCAUGGUCAUAUCUAAAUUGAGGCUGAUUCACGUAACAUUUUCAUCAAUUUACCCCGAACUUAAUGUGCCCAGCUAUUUCAGUCAAAACCAAAAGAACUGAAGCAACAUAUAUACUACUAUUUAGCAAAACAAAAAUUAAAUUUUUUUAAAUCGAAAAGGCAGCAUUUCUUUUGAGAAAAUAUUAAUGGUAUACUAAAAACAAUCUUAAUCCUCGCACUCUCAAUUCAAUUUGAUUGAUAAAAAAAUGAAUAUUUUUCUUCCUUCUUUUUCCCUUCCUAAAUCAACAAGUACAACUUUCUCAGAUUAAGUUCUUUCAACCCUCGACUCACGGAUCACGAUUAAGAACAAUUACUAGAAUCAAGUCAAACCCUAAACACCAUCAGUCAAACCCUAAAUCUGAAAAACAAAUAGAAACAUGAAGUGCGAAAAUGAAACUACAGCCGAGAAGUGAAUUAGAAUCGAUAAAAAUAGGGCUCAAUCGUGUUACCUUUCUAUGUGGGUGAAUUCACUGAAUGGCGGAUGGACGGGAGGAUCUUAAGCUCUAGUUUUUGGGGGAAGGAGAGAAUUUUGGGUGAAUUUCUAUUGGGCCAACCUUUUUU
rnacentral:lncRNA from 1 species